GCGGAAGUGGCGGAAUGGCAGACGCGCUAGCUUCAGGAGCUAGUGGCCGCAAGGUCGUGGAGGUUCAAAUCCUCUCUUCCGCACCA
rnacentral:tRNA from 1 species